GUAAAUUCGUCUGUGCAGAAUGCCCGGUAGGUUUCAAUAAAGUUUUGCAAAAAUAUAGUAGAAAGGCUGGAUAAUGGAAAUGUCAUUAGAAUGCAAGAAGGAAUUGGAAUUUGCUUAUACAUAAAUUAAUAUAAUUAAUAAAUGAUUGAAUAUUUCUUUUAUCAAAAUACAGAAUAAGUUGAUAGUAAUGCAUGGGCAAAUCAUCAUAUUCUUCUUGAUUUUAUUAAUUACUGUUUACCUUCUAAAUGUUCUAAAUUUUCUUCUCCAUUUACAUAACCAUCAUCAGCAGCAUCAACAGCAUCAGCAACAGCAACAGCAAUUCCAGUAAUAGUUUUAGGAAGGACUAGAGAGACAUUCUGCUGAAAAUGUUUACACUAAAGAAAAUGAAGAAAUCUUUCCUGAAAAAUAAUAAUAAUGAUGAUUUUCCUCUUAAUUUUAUGUAAAUAUUUGGCUUAUCUAUUUUUUUAUUUCUUGAAUGAAUCAGUAAUUUUAAUGAAAACUUUUCAUUAUUUUAAAAAGUAUUUAAAGUUACCAGUUGAAGAUCAAAAUAUAUAUAAAAUCAGACUUUAUUACCAUCAUAUAAGUUUAGUAUUGAAAAACAUUUUCAAUGUAAUUUAGACCAUCUUCAAGACUCAUAUUAGAUCAGAAUAUAAAAGUGCUGUAUAUAUUCUUGAUCAGCUAGACCAAAAAUGCUUGCCAAUAUUAAACUAUAUGCUUGUAAGAUGUUGAUUUUAUAGAUAUUUAAUUUUUUUAAAGUCUUCAUUCUAAAUGCUGCUAUAUGUUUCUGUAAAAAGUGGUUGCAUACUUUGCACAUUUAGUUGAAUAAAUCUGAAUAUGUCAGAUAAUUAAUGAAGCUGGAAGGAUUAAGAAAAUAAUUAUUUCAUAAUAUCAGAAUAGAACCAAAGAUAUUCAGAUAUUUAUAAG
rnacentral:lncRNA from 1 species